rnacentral:lncRNA from 1 species
GGUCUACGAAUCGCCGGGCAGCUACCUAGUGUAUCUUCGGAAUCUGCUGGACAACUCUCAACCCUCGCAAGCAGGACCUGAUAUGCCUGAAUCUGCACACGGGGUGCAUGGAGUAAAGUGAGUACUCCAACUCAGUGAGUAAUAAUAAUAAAUACAGACUGAGUAAUAAGAAAUCACGUAAAGGCACUUCAACAAGCUAUAAAGAAGCAGUAAAAGCCAGUAAAAGCAAUGAAAUAGUGAAAAUAUGUAAAGUCACUUAAGUUCAAAUUAAACUUUUUGAAAUGCCUUUUUAAUAAUUAAGCAAGUAAAUGACAGGCAACUAGGAAAGAUAAACACAUAAAGAACCACCUCUUGGGCACAAUACCAACAGAAACAGCCCCUCAGGAAACACAUGGAACAACAUCAUCCCAUCAUGCUAUAUCUCAAAUCACAAUGGGUACCCACGCUCACUGGGGUGUGCAGACUUCUAGAGGGGCCUCUUAUGGCCCAAGCGCAAUAUCAAGUCAUCUCGUGGCAUAAUCAAUAGUCUCUCGGCCACAUAUCAAGCCACCUCGUGCUGUACAACUCAGGUCCUCGGCCUCAUAAUCAUAAUCAGUGUAUCCUCACAACACAGACGCUCGGUCUUACUCAGUCAAAAUCUCAUAAGCCACUCGAGCAACAGUAAAACAUGAUGCUCAACCCAAUUUAUUAUUUAAAAUAUCAUUUAAUGAUUAAAACAGAGUAAACAUGGAUGAGUUAUGAAAACAAUAGAAUAUAGCAUGACUUAGUACAAGUAUAAAGUCAAAACAGUGAGGAAAUAUCAGUAAAAAUACCCUAAGGUUCCAAAUAGUUGGCACGAGACCCAAAUAUGGUGUUCAACCCAAAACAUGAUAGCAAAUAGUUUUCAAUUAAAUACGCGGUAAAAAAGUCAUUCGGGGCGGACUAAGUCACAAUCCCCAACGGUGCACGACCCCACGCUCGUUAUCUAACGUGUGCGUUUCCUCAAUAUAGCACCACGAUGUGUAAUUCGGGGUUUCAUACCCUCAGAACAAUAUUUAAAAUCAUUACUCACCUCAAUCCGGUCCGAACUAUAGCCCGCGACGCCUUUGCCCCUCGAAUCGGCCUCAACUCACGUCGAAUCUAUCCAAAAUCAGAAUCACCACGUCAAAAUAUGCUAGGGGAACAAAGCCCAUGCGAAAAUAAUCAAAUUACAACAUAAAUCCCAAAAUUAUCCAAAACCCGACCCCUUGGCCCACGUCUCGAAAUUUGAUAAAUUUUAAAUCAAUAGAUUCCUUAUCUCCCCACGAGUUCAUACAUAUCAAAAGUCCCAAAAUCCGACCACAAACGGCCCCUCAAAUCCUCAAGUCUAGGUCUCCAAUACCAAACCCUAGUUUCAUCAAUUUUAGCCCUUAAUUCCCACUAAUACCAUGAUUAAACAAUAAAAAAAUGAUCAUAAACCCAAAUAAUGAAGCUUAGGGAACUUACACAACUGAUUCCCUUCGAUUUUUCUUUGAUUUCUCUGCCCUAGAUCGUUUCCCGACUUCAAAAGAUGAAGAACUUAGCAAAAUUUCGCGAAGGAAACAUUUUAUACCUUCUAGCCCAGGGAUUCCGCACCUGCGGCCCUUUAACCGCUUUUGCGGUCAAUGGACCGCUUCUGCGGUCAUCACUUAAAUUCUCCACUUUCGCAUCUGCGAUGCCCAAUCCGCACAUGCGACAUCGCAGGUGCGGUUUCUGCCUUCCCACACCCUCUCCACUUCUGCGAUUCAAAUCUCGCUUCUGCAAGACCGCACCUGCGGUCCCCUAGCCGCAGGUGCGGUUAUGACACCAAUGAGAAACUUCAGCUGUCACAACCAACUCCAAAUCUUUCCACCAACCAUACGAAAUCACUCUGAGGUCCCCGGGACCUCAACCAAUAACACAAACACAUCAUAUACAACCAUCCAAACUUAUACCAAUCUUCAAAACUCUCAAACGGCAUCGAAUCAACCAAAACACAUCGGAUUCAAACUUAAGUUUCUAAAAUCUUCUGAAUUACGCUUUUGAUUAAAAAGUAUACCAAACCACGUCCGAAUGACCUUAAACUUUGCACACACAUCCCAAAUAACACAACGAACCUACUGGAACUUCCAGAAUUCCAUUUCGAGCCAUAUAUCAAAAUCUCACAUAUCAAUCGGAAAACGCCAAAAUUCCAACUUCGCCAAUUCAAGGCUAAAUCUACUCCGAACCUCCAAAACUCAUUCCGGUCACGCUCCUAAGUCCCAAACCACCUCCCGAAGCUAUCUGAACCAUCGAAACUCGUAUCUGAGCCCUCUAACACAUAAGUCAACAUCCAGUUGAUUUUUCCAACUUAAGCUUCCUCAAAAGAGACUAAGUGUCUCAAACCUUACCAAAACCUCUCUGAACCCGAGCCAACUAACCUGAUAACACAAAAUACAACUGAACAAGGCAAUAAGAAGCAGAAAUGGAAGAAACGGAGCGGUAACUCAUGAGACGACUGACCGGGUCGUCACAUUUAAAAAAUUUAUUUUGAAGAUUUCUUGUUUUGAUUCAAAGUGAGUGUUAUUAAAUAUUGUUUAUAGUACAUUCUGGAAGUUCA